AGUGAACGCUGGCGGUAGGCCUAACACAUGCAAGUCGAACGGCAGCACAGUAAGAGCUUGCUCUUACGGGUGGCGAGUGGCGGACGGGUGAGGAAUACAUCGGAAUCUACUUUUUCGUGGGGGAUAACGUAGGGAAACUUACGCUAAUACCGCAUACGACCUACGGGUGAAAGCAGGGGAUCUUCGGACCUUGCGCGAUUGAAUGAGCCGAUGUCGGAUUAGCUAGUUGGCGGGUAAAGGCCCACCAAGGCGACGAUCCGUAGCUGGGCUGAGAGGAUGAUCAGCCACACUGGAACUGAGACACGGUCCAGACUCCUACGGGAGGCAGCAGUGGGGAAUAUUGGACAAUGGGCGCAAGCCUGAUCCAGCCAUACCGCGUGGGUGAAGAAGGCCUUCGGGUUGUAAAGCCCUUUUGUUGGGAAAGAAAAGCAGCAGGUUAAUACCCCGCUGUUCUGACGGUACCCAAAGAAUAAGCACCGGCUAACUUCGUG
rnacentral:rRNA from 1 species